AGCUAAGGCUGCAGGCUCCGUGGAAAAGAUAAUGAUGCAGUGAAGCUCCUCCAGAAGUCCUCUGGUGGAUGAAGCUGUGUGAGUGGAGCGGAGUGUGUGAGAGGGUAAUUGCUCCAAAGACAAAAAGACACAGGCCAUAAUUUGUCCCUACGGCUGCACUAAUGGAGGGAUGGAGUGGUUAGAGAUCAGGCAGGAUGAGUGUGAGGAUGUGGAGGAUGAUCUGUUUUUGUUGCAGCUGAAAAUUAUCUAUAAAGUAGUUCAGUCACUUGGAGACUUUUGCAAAUGCAUUUCUGUAGCUUUAUCAGCAUUAAAAAGGGCAUCUGUUUGACUUCCUCUUAUUGAUGCUGAAAUGAUGCAGCUCAUCAUAAAAACAAUGACAGCAGAACAAGGUUUUUUUUUUUUCCUGACUGCCUCACACUUAAUUUUUCUCUGCCGUCUGUUCUUCUAUUUUCUCUCAAUGUUUCCAGAAAUCUGAGCAUCCUUCCUCUUUGUGCUUUUCUGUCUCUCAGCACCAGAUAAAAACACACACGAGCACAAGCAAAAUCACAUCAGUGAACAUUUCCGAUAGAAAAAAAGUUUGAUGUCAGCACAAUUUAUAACUCUGACGAUCUUUAAGGAUUUGCUUUUUUAAAUUAAAAUCACCAAAAUGAUCAUUGUGUUUCAGUUAAAGUUCAUUCGAGGUGUAACAGCUGAAAAUUUCUAGCUUGAAUGAUCUACUUCACUAUUUUUUUUUUUCCCAAGCACCAAAUCUGAUCCCAGAGCUUCUUUUUUUUUAUUCCAAACUGGAGCCACUAAUCGGUGUCUUCCUCUCCCCCAGCCUCCCGCAGUCUUCCUCCUCCUGUGACAGAGAGCUUUCCCAGAUUCCUCCAGCUUUCCGUCUUCCACCGCUCCCGAAAUCAAUCCGGGAUUAGGCUUGAUUACACGGAUACCCCUCUGGGACGCUUUAUUUCAAUGAAUUAGUUGAGUGAGUGAACAGAAGUGCAACA